rnacentral:rRNA from 2 species
CCUGGCGGCGAUAGCGCGGUGGUCCCACCUGACCCCAUGCCGAACUCAGAAGUGAAACGCCGUAGC